UCUAAAGCCAACUCCCCGGGGCUUGUUUUUCUGUCAGAAACAAGACAGGCCCCUUCAAAGAUGGAGAAACUGAGGUGGAGAUUGCAGAUGAAGGGUUUUGCUGGCGUGUCGAGUGACGGCCUUAGUGGAGGCCUUGCACUCUUUUGGGAUGAGAAGUUGCAAGUGACGGUG
rnacentral:rRNA from 1 species